rnacentral:rRNA from 1 species
UACGUAGGUGACAAGCGUUGUCCGGAUUUACUGGGCGUAAAGAGCGCGCAGGCGGUCGAUCAAGUCGAGUGUGAAAGCCCCCGGCUCAACUGGGGAGGGUCAUUCGAUACUGAUCGACUGGAAGGCAGGAGAGGGAAGCGGAAUUCCCGGUGUAGCGGUGAAAUGCGCAGAUAUCGGGAGGAACACCUAUGGCGAAGGCAGCUCGCUGGGACGUUACUGACGCUGAGACGCGAAAGCGUGGGGAGCAAACAGG